AGAGUUGAUCAUGGCUCAGGACGAACGCUGGCGGCGUGCCUAACACAUGCAAGUCGAGCGGAGUCGGUAAGAGGAAGUUUCGGAUGGAAUCUAUUGAUUAGCGGCGGACGGGUGAGUAACGCGUGAGCGACCAACCUUGCACAGGGGGAUAACGGACCGAAAGGUUCACUAAUACCGCAUGAGACCACGGUGUUGCAUGACACAGAGGUCAAAGGAGCAAUCCGGUGCAAGACGGGCUCGCGUCCGAUUAGGUAGUUGGAGGGGUAACGGCCCCACCAAGCCUAUGAUCGGUAGCCGACCUGAGAGGGUGAUCGGCCACAUUGGAACUGAGAUACGGUCCAAACUCCUACGGGAGGCAGCAGUGGGGAAUAUUGGGCAAUGGGGGAAACCCUGACCCAGCAACGCCGCGUGAAGGAAGAAGGUUUUCGGAUUGUAAACUUCUGUCCUUGGUGAAGAGAAGAAGACGGUAGCCAAGGAGGAAGCCCCGGCUAACUACGUGCCAGCAGCAGC
rnacentral:rRNA from 1 species